UACGUAGGUGGCAAGCGUUUGUCCGGAUUUACUGGGCGUAAAGAGCGCGCAGGCGGUCGAUCAAGUCGCGUGUGAAAGCCCCCGGCUCAACUGGGGAGGGUCACGCGAUACUGAUCGACUCGAAGGCAGGAGAGGGUAGUGGAAUUCCCGGUGUAGUGGUGAAAUGCGUAGAUAUCGAGAGGAACACCUGCGGCGAAGGCGGGUCUCUGGGCCGAUACUGACGCUGAGGAGCGAAAGCGUGGGGAGCAAACAGG
rnacentral:rRNA from 1 species